CCCUUAGAUGUUCUGGGCUGCACGCGCGCUACACUGGUGCACUCAACAAGUUUACAACCUUGAUCGAUAGGUCUGGGUAAUCUUUUGAAUAUGCACCGUGCUAGGGAUAGAUUAUUGCAAUUAUUAAUCUUGAACAAGGAAUUCCUAGUAAAUGCAAGUCAUCAGCUUGCGUUGAUUACGUCCCUGCCCUUUGUACACACCGCCCGUCGCACCUACUGAUUGGAUGGUCCGGUGAAGCCUCGGGAUUGUGGUUCUUGCCGCUUUAUUGUGGCGUGACCGCGAGAACUUGUCUAAACCUUAUCAUCUAGAGGAAGGUGAAGUCGUANCA
rnacentral:rRNA from 1 species